rnacentral:tRNA from 1 species
GGGCCCAUAGCUCAGUUGGCAGAGCACUGUGCCGAUAACGCAGGGGUGACUGGUUCGAUCCCAGUUGGGCCCACCA